AUUGAACGCUGGCGGCAGGCCUAACACAUGCAAGUCGAACGGUAGCACAGAGAGCUUGCUCUCGGGUGACGAGUGGCGGACGGGUGAGUAAUGUCUGGGAAACUGCCCGAUGGAGGGGGAUAACUACUGGAAACGGUAGCUAAUACCGCAUAACGUCGCAAGACCAAAGUGGGGGACCUUUGGGCCUCACACCAUCGGAUGUGCCCAGAUGGGAUUAGCUAGUAGGUGGGGUACUGGCUCACCUAGGCGACGAUCCCUAGCUGGCCUGAGAGGAUGACCAGCCACACGGGAAACGAGCCACGGUCCAAACUCCUACGGGAGGCAGCAGUGGGGAAUAUUGCACAGUGGGCGCAAGCCUGUUGCAGCCAAGCUGCGUGUAUGAAGAAGGCCUUCGGGUUAUAAAGUACUUUCAGCGGGGAGGAAGGCGGUGGAGUUAAUAACUUCACCGAUUGACGUUACCCGCAGAAGAAGCACCGGCUAACUCCGUGCCAGCAGCCGCCGUAA
rnacentral:rRNA from 1 species